UACGUAGGUGGCAAGCGUUGUCCGGAAUUAUUGGGCGUAAAGCGCGCGCAGGCGGUCCUUUAAGUCUGAUGUGAAAGCCCACGGCUCAACCGUGGAGGGUCAUUGGAAACUGGGGGACUUGAGUACAGAAGAGAAGAGUGGAAUUCCACGGUGUAGCGGUGAAAUGCGUAGAGAUGUGGAGGAACACCAGUGGCGAAGGCGACUCUUUGGUCUGUAACGUGACGCUGAGGAGCGAAAGCGUGGGGAGCGAACAGG
rnacentral:rRNA from 1 species